rnacentral:rRNA from 1 species
CGCCUCUUGCUAACAAAGGAAGUACUAGAGGUCCCGCCUGCCCUGUGACCACAAAGUUUAACGGCCGCGGUAUCCUGACCGUGCGAAGGUAGCGUAAUCAUUUGUCUUUUAAAUAGAGACCUGUAUGAAUGGCAUAACGAGGGUUUAACUGUCUCCUUCCCCCAGUCAAUGAAAUUGAUCUGCCCGUGCAGAAGCGGACAUAAAUACAUAAGACGAGAAGACCCUAUGGAGCUUUAGACAAAAGAUCAAACAUGUAAAGAAACCAAAACAACCAAAAGGAACACGAAGGCCACAAAACCCAACGUAAACUGAUCUAAAUGUCUUCGGUUGGGGCGACCAUGGGGGAAAGAAAAGCCCCCACGAGGAACAGGGACAACCCCUAAACUAAGAGGGACACCUCUAAGCAACAGAAAAUCUGACCAAAAUGACCCAGGAUACUAAUCCUGAUCAACGAACCAAGUUACCCUAGGGAUAACAGCGCAAUCCUUUCCCAGAGUC